rnacentral:rRNA from 1 species
GACGAACGCUGGCGGCGUGCUUAACACAUGCAAGUCGUACGGUAAGGCCCUUUCGGGGGUACACGAGUGGCGAACGGGUGAGUAACACGUGAGUAACCUGCCCACAACUUUGGGAUAACGCUAGGAAACUGGUGCUAAUACUGGAUAUGUGCCCCUGCUGCAUGGUGGGGGUUGGAAAGCUCCGGCGGUUGUGGAUGGACUCGCGGCCUAUCAGCUUGUUGGUGGGGUAGUGGCCUACCAAGGCGGCGACGGGUAGCCGGCCUGAGAGAGUGACCGGCCACAGUGGGACUGAGAGACGGCCCAGACGCCGACGGGAGGAAGAAGUGGGGAAGAUUGCACAAUGGGCGCAAGCCUGAUGCAGAAACGCCGCGUGCGGGAUGACGGCCUUCGGGUUGGAAACCGCUUUCAGCAGGGACGAAGCUUUUUGUGACGGUACCUGCAGAAGAAGCACCGGCUAACUACGUG